AUGGCGCUCACAGCUGGGUGCAAUAGACUGAUUGGCAACUCGGAUAAUCUGGAACUCAUGGAAAUAAUGAAUAAGGAUGGCCAAUAUGCUGGAGAUGCCGCGGCCAUUGUCGAUGAUUGUUAUCAUCUGGCUUGCGAAUUUAGCUCUAUUGUCUUCGAAUUUUGCCCCAGAGAGUCGAAUGGGGUUGCACAUGAACUAGCUAGGAUUGCUAGAAGUUCGCUUUGUAAUGAGUGGUUAGAUAAUGCUCCUUCUGAGCUUCUUCCCCUACUACUUAAAGAUGUAAGUCUGAUCACGAAUGAAUAA
rnacentral:rRNA from 1 species